rnacentral:rRNA from 1 species
AUUGAACGCUGGCGGCAGGCCUAACACAUGCAAGUCGAACGGUAGCACAGAGGAGCUUGCUCCUUGGGUGACGAGUGGCGGACGGGUGAGUAAUGUCUGGGAAACUGCCCGAUGGAGGGGGAUAACUACUGGAAACGGUAGCUAAUACCGCAUAACGUCGCAAGACCAAAGAGGGGGACCUUCGGGCCUCUUGCCAUCGGAUGUGCCCAGAUGGGAUUAGCUAGUAGGUGGGGUAACGGCUCACCUAGGCGACGAUCCCUAGCUGGUCUGAGAGGAUGACCAGCCACACUGGAACUGAGACACGGUCCAGACUCCUACGGGAGGCAGCAGUGGGGAAUAUUGCACAAUGGGCGCAAGCCUGAUGCAGCCAUGCCGCGUGUAUGAAGAAGGCCUUCGGGUUGUAAAGUACUUUCAGCGAGGAGGAAGGCAUUAAGGUUAAUAACCUUAGUGAUUGA